GCUGUGGUGACCCCAUUUGUGCUUGGAUUUGUGCCACUGUCGUGUAUCGGUGAAUUCUGAGGCGGUGAGGGUUGUUGGACAGAUUUACCAUCGUCGGAAGAGCCACAAACUGCUGAUAAGGAUUUUCUCAACAAAAUUGGUUGGUUCAUUAAUCUGUACAAGAGAAGCAAUUUAUCUCAUGGAAUUCGAAGACAGGGAGGGCAAAAAGAAGAAAAUGAAGGCAUGCAUGUUAUUAGCUCGAGGAUAGAGGAA